rnacentral:rRNA from 1 species
UACGUAGGAGGCGAGCGUUGUCCGGAAUUACUGGGCGUAAAGCGCGCGUAGGCGGUAGAGUACGACCGGUGUGAAAGCCCCCGGCUCAACUGGGGAGGGUCACGGGUAACGGCUCUACUGAUGAGUGCAGGAGAGGGAAGUGGAACUCCGGGAGUAGCGGUGAAAUGCGUAGAUACCCGGAGGAACACCAGUGGCGAAGGCGGCUUCCUGGUCUGUGACUGACGCUGAGGCGCGAAAGCUAGGGGAGCAAACGG